rnacentral:rRNA from 1 species
AGUCGAGGGGCAGCGCGGGAUAGCAAUAUCCUGGCGGCGACCGGCGGAAGGGUGCGUAACGCGUGAGCGACAUGCCCGUUGCCCGGGGACAACCGGUGGAAACGCCGACUAAUCCCCGAUGGGAUACGAUGCUUCAUGGCAUUGUAUUGAAAGUUACGGCGGCGACGGAUUGGCUCGCGUCCGAUUAGCUUGUUGGCGGGGUAACGGCCCACCAAGGCUACGAUCGGUAGGGGUUCUGAGAGGAAGGCCCCCCACAAUGGGACUGAGACACGGCCCAUACUCCUACGGGAGGCAGCAGUGAGGAAUAUUGGUCAAUGGGCGGAAGCCUGAACCAGCCAUGCCGCGUGCGGGAAGGAGGCCCUAUGGGCUGUGAACCGCUUUUGCCUGGGGGCAAUAAGGGCGUCGCGCACGCCCGAUGAGAGUACCAGGCGAAUAAGCAUCGGCUAACUCCGUGCCAGCAGCCGCGGUAAUACGGGGGAUGCGAGCGUUAUCCGGAUUCAUUGGG